rnacentral:rRNA from 1 species
ACGAACGCUGGCGGCGGGCCUAAUACAUGCAAGUCGAACGAGAAAGUUUCCUUCGGGAAAUUGGUAAAGUGGCGCAAGGGUGAGUAUCACGUGAAUAAUCUGCCCUCGAGAUCGGGAUAACAUGGUGAAAACUAUGCUAAUACCGGAUAAGACCACAUUUCAAAAGAAAUGCGGUAGAAGGAGUCUCAAUCUUCACUCGAGGAUGAGUUCGCGCAACAUUAGCUUGUUGGUGGGAUAAAAGCUCACCAAGGCUACGAUGUUUAGCGGCCUGAGAGGGUGAACGGCCACACUGGAACUGAGACACGGUCCAGACUCCUACGGGAGGCAGCAGUGGGGAAUAUUGCGCAAUGGGCGAAAGCCUGACGCAGCAACGCCGUGUGAGCGAUG